AAUGGGUCAGCGACUUAUAUUCUGUAGCAAGGUUAACCGAAUAGGGGAGCCGAAGGGAAACCGAGUCUUAACUGGGCGUUAAGUUGCAGGGUAUAGACCCGAAACCCGGUGAUCUAGCCAUGGGCAGGUUGAAGGUUGGGUAACACUAACUGGAGGACCGAACCGACUAAUGUUGAAAAAUUAGCGGAUGACUUGUGGCUGGGGGUGAAAGGCCAAUCAAACCGGGAGAUAGCUGGUUCUCCCCGAAAGCUAUUUAGGUAGCGCCUCGUGAAUUCAUCUCCGGGGGUAGAGCACUGUUUCGGCAAGGGGGUCAUCCCGACUUACCAACCCGAUGCAAACUGCGAAUACCGGAGAAUGUUAUCACGGGAGACACACGGCGGGUGCUAACGUCCGUCGUGAAGAGGGAAACAACCCAGACCGCCAGCUAAGGUCCCAAAGUCAUGGUUAAGUGGGAAACGAUGUGGGAAGGCCCAGACAGCCAGGAUGUUGGCUUAGAAGCAGCCAUCAUUUAAAGAAAGCGUAAUAGCUCACUGGUCGAGUCGGCCUGCGCGGAAGAUGUAACGGGGCUAAACCAUGCACCGAAGCUGCGGCAGCGACGCUUAUGCGUUGUUGGGUAGGGGAGCGUUCUGUAAGCCUGUGAAGGUGUGCUGUGAGGCAUGCUGGAGGUAUCAGAAGUGCGAAUGCUGACAUAAGUAACGAUAAAGCGGGUGAAAAGCCCGCUCGCCGGAAGACCAAGGGUUCCUGUCCAACGUUAAUCGGGGCAGGGUGAGUCGACCCCUAAGGCGAGGCCGAAAGGCGUAGUCGAUGGGAAACAGGUUAAUAUUCCUGUACUUGGUGUUACUGCGAAGGGGGGACGGAGAAGGCUAUGUUGGCCGGGCGACGGUUGUCCCGGUUUAAGCGUGUAGGCUGGUUUUCCAGGCAAAUCCGGAAAAUCAAGGCUGAGGCGUGAUGACGAGGCACUACGGUGCUGAAGCAACAAAUGCCCUGCUUCCAGGAAAAGCCUCUAAGCAUCAGGUAACAUCAAAUCGUACCCCAAACCGACACAGGUGGUCAGGUAGAGAAUACCAAGGCGCUUGAGAGAACUCGGGUGAAGGAACUAGGCAAAAUGGUGCCGUAACUUCGGGAGAAGGCACGCUGAUAUGUAGGUGAAGUCCCUCGCGGAUGGAGCUGAAAUCAGUCGAAGAUACCAGCUGGCUGCAACUGUUUAUUAAAAACACAGCACUGUGCAAACACGAAAGUGGACGUAUACGGUGUGACGCCUGCCCGGUGCCGGAAGGUUAAUUGAUGGGGUCAGCGCAAGCGAAGCUCUUGAUCGAAGCCCCGGUAAACGGCGGCCGUAACUAUAACGGUCCUAAGGUAGCGAAAUUCCUUGUCGGGUAAGUUCCGACCUGCACGAAUGGCGUAAUGAUGGCCAGGCUGUCUCCACCCGAGACUCAGUGAAAUUGAACUCGCUGUGAAGAUGCAGUGUACCCGCGGCAAGACGGAAAGACCCCGUGAACCUUUACUAUAGCUUGACACUGAACAUUGAGCCUUGAUGUGUAGGAUAGGUGGGAGGCUUAGAAGUGUGGACGCCAGUCUGCAUGGAGCCGACCUUGAAAUACCACCCUUUAAUGUUUGAUGUUCUAACGUUGACCCGUAAUCCGGGUUGCGGACAGUGUCUGGUGGGUAGUUUGACUGGGGCGGUCUCCUCCUAAAGAGUAACGGAGGAGCACGAAGGUUGGCUAAUCCUGGUCGGACAUCAGGAGGUUAGUGCAAUGGCAUAAGCCAGCUUGACUGCGAGCGUGACGGCGCGAGCAGGUGCGAAAGCAGGUCAUAGUGAUCCGGUGGUUCUGAAUGGAAGGGCCAUCGCUCAACGGAUAAAAGGUACUCCGGGGAUAACAGGCUGAUACCGCCCAAGAGUUCAUAUCGACGGCGGUGUUUGGCACCUCGAUGUCGGCUCAUCACAUCCUGGGGCUGAAGUAGGUCCCAAGGGUAUGGCUGUUCGCCAUUUAAAGUGGUACGCGAGCUGGGUUUAGAACGUCGUGAGACAGUUCGGUCCCUAUCUGCCGUGGGCGCUGGAGAACUGAGGGGGGCUGCUCCUAGUACGAGAGGACCGGAGUGGACGCAUCACUGGUGUUCGGGUUGUCAUGCCAAUGGCACUGCCCGGUAGCUAAAUGCGGAAGAGAUAAGUGCUGAAAGCAUCUAAGCACGAAACUUGCCCCGAGAUGAGUUCUCCCUGACUCCUUGAG
rnacentral:rRNA from 1 species